GUGUCAGCCGCCGCGGUAAUACGGAGGGAGCGAACGUUGUUCGGAUUCACUGGGCGUAAAGGGCGUGUAGGCGGUCUGGCAAGUCAGGGGUGAAAUACCGCGGCUCAACCGUGGAAUUGCCUUUGAAACUACCGGACUUGAGGCCGUGAGAGGAGACUGGAAUUCCCAGUGUAGCGGUGAAAUGCAUAGAUAUUGGGAAGAACACCAGUGGCGAAGGCGAGUCUCUGGCACGGUUCUGACGCUGAUGCGCGAAAGCUAGGGGAGCAAACGGGAUUAGAUACCCUUGUAGUCC
rnacentral:rRNA from 1 species